rnacentral:rRNA from 1 species
CCAAUAGCGUAUAUUAAAGUUGUUGCAGUUAAAAAGCUCGUAGUUGAAUUUCGGGAUUAGUACGCUGGUCGUGCCUUCGGUACGUACUGGUGUUACUGAUUUCUACCUUCUGACGAACCAUCAUUUCAUUAAUUUGGUGUGGUGGGGAAUCAGGACUGUUACUUUGAAAAAAUUAGAGUGUUUAAAGCAGGCUCGCGCUUGAAUACAUUAGCAUGGAAUAAUGAAAUAGGACGUUGAUCCUAUUUUGUUGGUUUCUAGGAUUGACGUAAUGAUUAAUAGGGAUAGUUGGGGGCAUUAGUAUUCAAUUGUCAGAGGUGAAAUUCUUGGAUUUAUUGAAGACUAACUACUGCGAAAGCAUUUGCCAAGGAUGUUUUCAUUAAUCAAGAACGAAAGUUAGGGGAUCGAAGACGAUCAGAUACCGUCGUAGUCUUAACCAUAAACUAUGCCGACUAGGGAUCGGAUGAUGUUAAUUUUUUAAUGACUCAUUCGGCGCCUACG